rnacentral:misc_RNA from 1 species
AAUUGGAAGCCAUUUCUACCGACUUGGCUUAUUUAGUAUCGGUGACUGCUUCAUAAAUGAGGCUGAGGCCAAGGAACCAGAAUCUACUGUUGCUAUGAGAUCCAUGUUCUCAGAAAUGUAUCUAAUAGUAGAAGCUAUGAAGGAUCGAAACCUAAUACCUGCAUUAAAGUGGGCUGCUGCCAACUCUGAUAAGCUUAAAGAAAAUGGUUCAGACCUUGAGCUGAAACUUCAUCGUUUGCAGUUUGUGGAAAUACUGCAACAUGGAAGUAGAGGUGAAGCUCUUACGUAUGCCAGAACUCAUUUUGCUCCUUUUGCAUCCAAUCAUUUGGGUGAAAUUCAGAAGCUCAUGGCCUGCCUCUUGUGGACUGGAAAGCUUGAUCGCUCCCCAUACUCUGAAUUACUGUCUGCUGCUAAUUGGAACACAGUGGCUGACGAGCUAACUAGGCAAUUCUGCAAUCUUCUGGGGCAGUCUUUUGAAAGCCCAUUGAGUGUGACAAUA